rnacentral:rRNA from 1 species
CAGCAGGUUUGUAGCAAUACAGAUGCUGGCGACCGGCAAACGGGUGCGGAACACGUACACAACCUUCCUUUAAGUGGGGAAUAGCCCAGGGAAACUUGGAUUAAUACCCCGUAAUAUUAUGAAAUGGCAUCAUUUUAUAAUUAUAGCUACGGCGCUUAAUGAUGGGUGUGCGGCUGAUUAGGUAGUUGGCGGGGUAAUGGCCCACCAAGCCUGCGAUCAGUAACUGGUGUGAGAGCACGACCAGUCACACGGGCACUGAGACACGGGCCCGACUCCUACGGGAGGCAGCAGUAAGGAAUAUUGGUCAAUGGACGCAAGUCUGAACCAGCCAUGCCGCGUGGAGGAUGAAGGUCCUCUGGAUUGUAAACUUCUUUUAUCUGGGACGAAAAAGGGUCUUUCUAGAUCAACUGACGGUACCAGAUGAAUAAGCACCGGCUAACUCCGUGCCAGCAGCCGCGGUAAUACGGAGGGUGCAAGCGUUAUCCGGAUUCACUGGGUUUAAAGGGUGCGUAGGUGGGUCUGUAAGUCCGUGGUGAAAUCUCCGAGCUUAACUUGGAAACUGCCAUGGAUACUAUAGUUCUUGAAUACUGUGGAGGUCAGCGGAAUAUGUCAUGUAGCGGUGAAAUGCUUAGAUAUGACAUAGAACACCAAUUGCGAAGGCAGCUGGCUACACAAAUAUUGACACUGAGGCACGAAAGCGUGGGGAUCAAACAGGAUUAGAUACCCUGGUAGUCCACGCCCUAAACGAUGGAUACUCGACAUUUGCGAUACACUGCAAGUGUCUGAGCGAAAGCAUUAAGUAUCCCACCUGGGAAGUACGAUCGCAAGAUUGAAACUC